rnacentral:rRNA from 1 species
AUACGGAGGGUGCAAGCGUUAAUCGGAAUUACUGGGCGUAAAGCGUACGUAGGCGGUUCGUUAAGUUAGAUGUGAAAGCCCCGGGCUUAACCUGGGAACUGCAUUUAAAACUGGCUAACUAGAGUUAAGUAGAGGGGAGUGGAAUUUCAGGUGUAGCGGUGAAAUGCGUAGAGAUCUGAAGGAACACCAGUGGCGAAGGCGACUCCCUGGACUUGAACUGACGCUGAGGUACGAAAGCGUGGGUAGCAAACGGGAUUAGAAACCCUAGUAGUCC